UACGUAGGGUGCAAGCGUUGUCCGGAAUUAUUGGGCGUAAAGAGCUCGUAGGCGGUUCGGUAAGUCGGGUGUGAAAUCUCCGUGCUCAACACGGAGCGGCCACCUGAUACUGCCGUGACUCGAGUCCGGUAGGGGAGUGUGGAAUUCCCGGUGUAGCGGUGAAAUGCGCAGAUAUCGGGAGGAACACCAGUAGCGAAGGCGGCACUCUGGGCCGUGACGUGACGCUGAGGAGCGAAAGCGUGGGUAGCAAACGAG
rnacentral:rRNA from 1 species